ensembl:snRNA U6 U6 spliceosomal RNA
GUGCUCACUUCAGCAGCAACUACACUAAAAGUGGAAUGAUACAAAGAAUAUCAGCAUGACCCCUGCAGAAGGAUGACAUGCAAAUAUGUAAAGCAGUCCAUAUUUUU